rnacentral:lncRNA from 1 species
AUUUUAAACUUUACUUUGAUAUGAUAUGAAUUUGAUGUUCGGAUGUAACUGUUAAAUUGGCAGUGCAUCAUUCAAAGUGUGCACAUCAGCGUGCUCCUAUCUGCCUUAGACUUUUUAUUUGUGCAAAAUGACAUUGUCAAAAACUUUACUUUCGUUUUCAACCGGAUGUUGACUUGACAAUGGUAAAACAUGGACCAUAAACGGAUACGUAAAAUCCGUGUACGUUUACAAAGCACGACUGAGAGAAGAAGCUCUUUCCACGUUAUUUCUUCAACAAAAUACUUGAAUUGAACGUUAGAUACAGGUAUCAAUGAUAAUUUUAGCAUUUUUAAAGAAAUGUAGGAUGCAUUAUUGAAUUUCCCACCUGUGCACAUGCGCACACGUGUUCUAGUUCAUACGACGUAGUUCUGACGAUUUUUUAUUUAAAACCUUUUUAUAAAAUUUUUCAUCAAAUCAUGUUGAUAAACUAAUUUCUAAUAAUUUUAAUCUUUUGGACUAAAUCAAUUAGAUACAAAC